GAUGAACGCUGGCGGCGUGCCUAAUACAUGCAAGUCGAGCGAACAGACGAGGAGCUUGCUCCUUCGACGUUAGCGGCGGACGGGUGAGUAACACGUAGGUAACCUACCUAUAAGACUGGGAUAACUUCGGGAAACCGGAGCUAAGACCGGAUAAUAUUUCGAACCGCAUGGUUCGAUAGUGAAAGAUGGCUUUGCUAUCACUUAUAGAUGGACCUGCGCCGUAUUAGCUAGUUGGUAAGGUAACGGCUUACCAAGGCAACGAUACGUAGCCGACCUGAGAGGGUGAUCGGCCACACGGGAACUGAGACACGGUCCAGACUCCUACAGGGGGCAGCAGUAGGGAAUCUUCCGCAAUGGGCGAGAGCCUGACGGAGCAACGCCGCGUGAGUGAUGAAGGUCUUCGGAUCGUAAAGCUCUGUUAUUAGGGAAGAACAAACGUGUAAGUAACUGUGCACGUCUUGACGGUACCUAAUCAGAAAGCCACGGCUAACUACGUG
rnacentral:rRNA from 1 species